CAGUAGCCACGGUAAUACAGAGGGUGCAAGCGUUAAUCGGAAUUACUGGGCGUAAAGCGCGCGUAGGUGGUUCGCCAAGUUGGAUGUGAAAUCCCCGGGCUCAACCUGGGAACUGCAUCCAAAACUGGCGAGCUAGAGUAUGGUAGAGGGUGGUGGAAUUUCCUGUGUAGCGGUGAAAUGCGUAGAUAUAGGAAGGAACAUCAGUGGCGAAGGCGACCACCUGGACUGAUACUGACACUGAGGUGCGAAAGCGUGGGGAGCAAACAGGAUUAGAUACCCCAGUAGUCCCUGUCUCUUAUAC
rnacentral:rRNA from 1 species